AGGCCCGUAGCACAAUUGGCUAGUGCACCGGUCUCCAAAACCGGGGGUUGGAGGUUCAAAUCCUCCCGGGCCUGCCA
rnacentral:tRNA from 1 species